rnacentral:rRNA from 1 species
UACGGGGGGGGCAAGCGUUGUUCGGAAUUACUGGGCGUAAAGGGCUCGUAGGCGGCCAACUAAGUCGGACGUGAAAGCCCCGGGCUCAACCUGGGAACCGCGCUUGAGACUGGAGAACUAGAGUUCGGGAGAGGAUGGUGGAAUUCCCAGUGUAGUGGUGAAAUACGUAGAGAUUGGGAAGAACACCAGUGGCGAAGGCGGCUCUCUGGACCGGAUCUGACGCUGAGGCGCGAAAGCGUGGGGAGCAAACAGG